CAAGUGAACAACCCUUCGGGGCCUGUCUCAUAACCCUUUGUUGUCCGACCACGUUGCCUCCGGGGCGACCCUGCCUCCGGGCGGGGGCUCCGGGUGGACAAUUCAAACUCUUGCGUAACUUUGCAGUCUGAGUAAAUUUAAUUAAUAAAAUU
rnacentral:misc_RNA from 1 species